rnacentral:lncRNA from 1 species
CGUGUUCUCAUAAUUAUUUGCAGACAUGUUUUUUUUUUUUUUAACAUAUACCUACUUUUUUGUUUAAUCAUUUAUCAUUAAUUGCAACAAGUCACAAACCGAAUUAUCUUACGGUUUGCUUCUACUUGCAAAAAAAAAAGGUUUAUUUGCAGACAUGUUAUGUGGAGGAUAAUAACUAAUGAUGUAUUAAGCACAUGGGGAAGCAUUAAAGCCUAUUUGAAUUUAUUUGUAUUGCUAUGCAUCUUUAGUAAUACAUGCUAGUCUAUCGUUGAAACGAUAUAGGCCGGCUCUGUGUGUUGCUAUUAUAUUUAUUCUAAAUAUUCAUAAGACCUUAAAUAGAAUUCAUAAGACUUUUUUUUUUUUUACUUCAGACGACUUUAACUGUAAUAGAUUGUAUAUUUGAUUAGAACAUGAUAUACUGUAUUUUGUUGUGGAUAUGAGUUAAAUUAUAAAUAGCAACUUGAUAUAUCUAUUAUAUAUAUUAAAACAGAAGUCACAAUGUAUGUUUUUUUUAAAUUGACCUAAUGAAUUAUGGACAAAUUCCUACAAAGUUAUAUUACAUUUAAUUUAUAAUCUUAUCAUUUAAAUUUUUAGUCUACCAGAAUUUUUAUUGGGUUAUCAAUAGUUGGAUUUAUAGAUAAUAUAAAUGAAAUAUAUAUAAUUUAAUGUUGUAAUACUAUACAUCCAUAUGUUAAAUAUUUGUCGAUGUUAACUUUUAAAAUUAUAAAGAUUUUUU